rnacentral:rRNA from 1 species
UUUUAUUAGAAUAUUAUUAAUAAUAAAAUCUGCUCAAUGAAAUUUAAAUAGCCGCAAUAUCGUGCUAAGGUAGCAUAAUCAUUUGUCUUUUAAUUAAAGACUAGAACAAAAGAUUUAACAUUUAAAUAAAUUUAUUAAAUUUAUCUAUUAAAAUUAUUUUAAAUAUAAAAAAAUAUUUAUAAAAAAAAAAGACGACAAGACCCUAUUGAACUUAACUUAAGUUUAACUGGGGUAGUUAAUUAAUUAAAAUUUUAAUUUAAAUUAUUUAAUAAAUAUAAUCUAAUAUAAUUAAUUUUAUGAUUAAGUUACCAUAGGGAUAACAGCGUAAUAAAAUUUUAAAGAUCUUAUUAAAAAUAAAGUUUACGACCUCGAUGUUGACUAAUUUCCUAAUUAAUGCAAUAAUUAUUUAAGGAAGUCUGUUCGACUUUUAAAAAAUUACA